rnacentral:lncRNA from 1 species
AUGAAAGUGGGGUGGGGGGUACCUUUUCGAACAAUAGAGAACCGCUGUGUGGCUGCUCACCCCCAAGUGGGAGAAACAGAGCCCCCACCCAGGCAGCAGGGCGGCCGGGGCUCCACCCCUCCCCUGGAGGUGGCCCUGCCCAGCUGUCUGGGGACGGCAGGGCUGUGGGCAGCCAGGCCCUCUGAGCUCCUCAGGUGCGACAGCAUCUCCAAGUGGAGUCAAGACCGCCCGGGCGGGGCCAGGGCAGAGCAUGAGCAGAACCGCGCUGGACGGCGGGGUCACCCCGCCCUGGCCAGGCCCCUGCGGCCCACCUGGUGGGGGCUCCAGGAGGUUAAGGCAUCUGUCCGUGUGCUGGGUGAGGGGAGAGGGGAGCGCACUGAUCUGCAGGGGCACCUGAGGCCCCUACUCGGCCCACCCACAGAGCCCAGGCUCCCUGGGGAGGAAGUGGCAUGUAAAGUGCUCGGUCAGGCAGGGAGGUUGGGGAUGAGGCACCUGGGAAGGCCGUGCUGGUCCCAGCAGCCCAGGGGCCUUUGCCUGGGGCGUUGGAAUCUCUGCAGCAGGUGGGGACUUCCUGAGGUGGGAGGGCACAGGGUCACGGGCCCUGGUGGGCUCGGGGUCAGACAAGGUGCGGCUGGUGGAGAGGGGACCCCAGCCCACAUCCCAGGGUCCGUGGCAGCCUGCCUCCUGGGCUGUCCUUCUGGGCUGGGCUGUCCUGAGCCCUGGAGGGGCCUACUUGGUGUCCCGCUCAGGCCCCGAGAGGCUGGGGAAAAGGCUGGAGGCAGCCGAGUGCAGGCGGCACACAGCCCCGCGGUAGGGCGCCCCAGCAGCCGGGCUCCAGGAGGCCCGCAGCGCUGGGCGGUCCUCAGGGAGGCCGAGGUGGCACAGGUGCAGGCCGGGGGGCGCCCGGGGCUGGCCACGCCGCCCCCAUCCACGGCUGCAGGUGCCGGUCCACCCCCUGCGGUUGCAGCGUCCCGUGAGAAAGAAGCAGAAAGUGGAGGUCAGCAAGGCAGGACCACCCCCACUGGGCACCCAGGCCCGCGCACCUCCCACGUGGCUCUGGGAAGCUGUGUGCUCCUGUUGCCUCCGCCCCAGGGGCCGCAGCUACAGGACGUGGCGGCGGCCCCACAGGGCCUCCAGCCAGCGGGCACUCCUUACUCCCGGAGCCCCAGGGGCCCCUGA